GUGUACUCCUAAUUAAAGUGUCUUUUACUCCGUGUUCCCAGGCUCCCUCUUUCCCUUCGGUCGACGUGGGUGUGCCGGACGCCUCUGGCAGGACUAACCCCGUGGCUUUUAUGUCCAACGUGCUGUGCUGCGUGUGCCUGCAGAAUUGCCACGAGAGGAAAUACUUCAGAGGGGCUUCCCUCCAGAUAAGCCCUGAAUGUGCCAGGAGGUUUCAGCCGGGAGAAAGGAGCUGUGGAAGAAAAGCAGCCUAAAAAUAGCCAGUGGGGAUCAUCAGGUUUUCCAGCCAAGAAAAACCGGGAGGGAGAUGAGGGAAUCGGGUUCCAAUUCCUAAAGAUUUGGUGGGUGUAGGAAUGAUUUCUGUGUGUUUUCCAGUCCCUUUUGAUUCCUGGGAUGAUUUUAAAAUGAUGGCUAAAUUGGAGAUGUUGUUUUUGAGAGGAAAUGAUGCCAAAUAAAUGCAGAGUUUGGGGUCA